UUCGAUGAAAUUUUUCAUAUUGGAGCAAAAUUCAGAUGAGUAUCUUGUCAUUGAAGAUUUGGGAGAAAAGCAUUUUGAUGUCCGAGGAAGAAAGUGGGGAAUCGCACAGGCUAUCGCGCUGGAUGAUUUUACAGAUAAAGACAAUGGAUUUCUAGUUGAUAACACUUGUACCUUUGGAGCCGAGGUUUUUAUUACAAGUGCUGAGCCUAGUUACUCGAAGAUGUCGCUAGUCAAUUCCAUUUCCAAAAAUGUAUUUAAAAUUGGUAUUAAAUUUGAUAUCGAAAGUGAUUAUUAUGAUUCUACUACCUUCACCGCUACAUUAGAUGGAAAUACUUACACCUGGUGCGUAGCUAUUUUUUUAAAAUAGUUGAUGAAUCCUCGUUUUUAUAAAUUUUUGUACCAUGAUUAUGUUUAUACAUUAAAUACUCGUUUUUUUUUUCCACUAAUCUUUGUAGGAAACUGCGGUUAUACCUAACUAGACAUUCUGAGGGAACUGACUUUCAUGUAUCGCUGUAUCUGAUUCUUGUGGAUAUCAACAAGCUUUCCAAUGGAAGGAGCAUGUUGGUUAAUUUUCAAUUAAGUUUAAAAAAUAAAAGUACUGGAUCGUACUCUUAUUCCAUGCCAGCUGCUCUUGACUGGUACCAUACCAAAAAGGAUUCGUCGGGCUAUUCUAAGUUUAUUGAAAGAGAAGCCUUUUUUAAUUCGACAACCAAAUAUGAUUAUUUACAAACUGCAAAUGUGAAAGUCCAAUUCAAAAGUGUCUUCAUUCUCAAUGACGUUGAUGAAUAAGAUGUUCACAACCACCAUCGAUGCAUACUCUUCAUUUGUAUUGAAUGUUUUUUGGUUGUAAUCAUCGAGUAUGUAUGAAACGAACCAAGGUCUCUUACACAAGGCAUAUUGUGUUAUCCCUAAACGCUUUCUGUAGAGUUACAUGGUUUUACCUUACUCUUAAAGAGUUUUACAUGUAAUUUCCUUCAUUUCAAUUAAAUUAUAUUAAAUUAUUGUAUUUGUUAUCACGUGAUUAUGAAAUAAUUAUGAUGUUGGGAUAUUUACUUCACUAUUAAAUGAUAUGAUAACCUUUUUCAUAGUUGUGAUUUUGUUUUUUUGGUAUUACUUAAGGUAUUUUUUAUAUAUUCUUCUCCGGUUGUAACAUUCAUUGGCUAUAAAUACUAGCUUAAUUCCCGUGCAAUGCACGGUUUUACCAAAAUUUGUAAAGAUAUACAACAAUUCUAUACAAAUUAUUCUCUUAUAAAAAGUAUCAUAAAGAUCCAUAUUUUCUAAAAUUUUCUAUUCAAUAAAUUUUAGCUUGCACCCGUAUGAUAUACAAUAUGAAUAUGACCACUCAAAUGCAAAGUAAAUCAAAUUUUCAAGAAUGGAGCGAGGGAGAUUAUUCAGAAACAUUUUUUAACAAUAACUUGUUCUUUAGCUUGUUAUACACACUGGCGUGCAUAAGUUAUCAUUUAUACUUAAACUAAUAAAUUACUUAAAUCACUUUAUUAUUUUACUUUGCUUUUGACAUUUUAAAAAUCUGGCUUAAAAAUUAUAUA